UCCUGUCAGCCUUGAUAACACACAGAUUGCAAAUCUGAGGAAGCAGGUUAAUUCCCUGCCAGGGCUU
rnacentral:tRNA from 1 species